GGGCGCGUAGCUCAGCGGUAGAGCAUCGCCUUGACAUGGCGGGGGUCACAGGUUCAAUCCCUGUCGCGCCCACCA
rnacentral:tRNA from 12 species